AGAAUCGUUUUUGAGCAAAUCUUCGACAGCAAGAAGGGCUGAUUACGAAAAGGAGUCCGGGAUUUACUUGACAACUGAAGAUCUAGAGAAUGAAUUUAAAGCGAUGGAGCUCAAUGAAGAUGGACAAAAGCUUUUUAGAUUUGCGAUGCGUACCGUAGCUGAAGAAAAUAUGAGGAGUAGAAUAUUUGAUGUUGAACUUAUUGUUUAUCUUGCUCACAAUAGUAAAGUUACUAUUAGUAAAGGAGAUCCAAAACAAAAACUGAUCAUACUCCUUGAUGAGAAAAACGAACCCAUCUUUAGAUGGGAAAUUAAAACCAGCUCUACAAGCUCUUUAAGCUACCGCUAAUACAUCAGCACUGUUAUCAGAACUCAUGUAGUCUAAUUAAACAUACCAAAAUGUAUCAAAAGACAGGAUUAAGUUGAAAAUUGUAGUUGUUAUAUAAUUCAGCUCCGAGUACGAUUCCAGAUAAACAGCCUAUAUGUAUAUUGAAUGUAAUGAAAUAAAGAGUUCUGUUACCGUCCAUUAAGGAACUAGUCACAAACCUCUACACCUGACUGGUAUCUGCCUGCUUGCUUCAGAACACAUACUUGAAAUGACCACUGUCUUAAGAUGUUUGAGCGGUCCCUCAACUCGAAAAUCCAUUUUCCUUGCUAUUACAAUAUGAAAGACAUGAUACUUCACUUAUUUGACGUACCUAGGUGGUUACUGGCAUGAACAAAUCUACUCAUUACAUCCUUAUAGUGCUAUCAAUAAUCACUUCAAACACCAAUGUCGAUCACUUAAUAGCCUGAACGUAAUGUCUUGAUAUUGACAUAGAACGUUGCGUUUCUAUAAACGGCUUUAGUGCAAGAACCGAUUUUUGGCAAGUGUUUGGAACGUCAAUCUCAGUAUGCAGUUAGUUACAUGUAUGUAAUAUGUUUUGAAGUACGCAGACAUAAAGUUACCAUAUUUGAUAAACUACUUCAUAUAUAAGGAGUGUUUUAAAUGAAAUACCUUAUAAGCUACGAUACCGUUAUUAACCAGUUUAUUUAAUCUGUAAUCUAACGAAUGCACAUUUUUAGCUCGACUUUUCAUAGAAUAGUAGAGCUAUUGGACUCGCCUAUGCGUCGGCGUCCGCGUCGGCGUCCGCGUCCCGAUUUGGUUAAGUUUUUGUAUGUAAGCUGGUAUCUCAGCAACCACUUGUGGGAAUGCAAUUGAAACUUCACAUACUUAUUCACUGUGAUAAACUAACUUACACUGCACAGGUUCCAUAACUCUAUUUUGCUUUUUUACAAAAUUAUGCCCCUUUUUUUGACUUAGAAAUAUUUGGUUAAGGUUUUGUAUGUAAGCUGGUAUCUCAGUACUCACAAAUGGGAAUGGAUUGAAACUUCACACACUUAUUUACUGUGAUAAACUGACUUACACUGCACAGGUUCCAUAACUCUAUUUUGCUUUUUUCAAAAUUAUGCCCCAUUUUUGACUUAGAAAUAUUUGGUUAAGGUUUUAUAUGUAAGCUGGUAUCUCAGUACUCACUAAUGGGAAUGGAUUGAAACUUCACACACUAGUUCACUGUCAUGAUCUGACAUGCACAAAACAGGUCCCAUAACUCUAUUUUGCUUUUUUACAAAAUUAUGCCCCUUUUUCAACAUAGAAAUUUUUGGUUAAGUUUUUGUAUGUAAGCUGGUAUCUCAGUAUCCACUAAUGGGAAAGGAUUGAAACUUCACACACUUGUUCACUGUCAUGUUAUGACAUGCAGUGCAAGGGGUCAAUAACUCAACUUCGCAUUUUACAAAAUUCUGCCCCUUUUUCAACUAAGGAGUUUUUGGUUAAAUUCUUAAUAUGUAAGCAAGUAUCUCAGUACCCGCUAAUGGGAAUGGAUUGAAACUUCACACACUUGUCCACUGUCAUGAGCUGAUAAGCAUAUGCAGGUUGCAUAACCCUAUUUUGCUUUUUUACUAAAUUAUGCCCCUUUUUCGACUUUCGUAUUCAUUCAAUCGACAAGGCUGUUGAAUAGUCGAGCGUUGCUGUCCUACGACAGCUCUUGUUUAUUUGGGAAAUAGACUUUAGUUCUGCAUGCUUUGUUGGCAAAUAAAACACGGUUUUGAGUUCAGAUGCGUAGUAACCUAAUCACGAAGGCCGAAGGCCUGAGUGAUUAAUUACGACGAUCUGAACAAAAACAAAAACGUGUUUCAUUCGCCACCAAAGCACGCAAAACUAAAAUCUAUGUCCAUUCUAACACGUUUGAAUUACACCAGGUCUGGAAUAAAAUGCGGUUUUAAAUACGAGGGAGUAAACCGGAAUAGAUAAAAGUUGGUCAUUUUGCGAAACGUGUUCUAAUCAACAACACAAUACACGGUAAAAUCCUUCUAUGUUUAUAUAAAGAAAAACUUAUAAAUGUUAGAACUAAAUUUGGAUAUUGACAAAAUGUUUGCAUUUAUUUUUCGUACAAACUGUCUGGUACACUGCUUUCGGAGUGAGUAUGGUUAUAAAGAAAUCUGAACUGGUCAACCAAUCAAACGACUUGACCGGACAAUAUGAUUACUUGCUAAGCAUGACUAUAUUCUCGCGUAACUUUGAACGUACAGAAAGCUCUAACAUUUUCGUUAUUUGUCUCAGUGAAUAUCAUUUUUGUACCUUUUCACUUCGUAUUUACUACAUAAUGGAGUACGCAAUAUCAUAAGUAACUAUUUUUGAUUUGUUAGAUAAACAAACAAAUGUCACUGUUUCGCACGUAAGGUUCCCUGAUGUAUACAACAGUCUAAAGUUAAAUGUAGACUGUAUAUAGUUUUAGCUCGGUGAUAAGAAACAAAAAGUACAGAAAGUGCCUGUUUCAAAAGUUCCUUUACUGGAUGCAUUUUACUUUUAAUUAGCCUACUACAGAUGUAUGUGGUCUGUAGUCAAAACCGUAUAUAAUUUCUGUAUAAUCUUAUUUAAAACAAAACAUAACAAAAUUGCUUGCACACCAUCUCUUUCAAAACACAGUUAUAAAUAAUCCAUUGCCAGCAUGUAAUUAAGAAGUAAGAAAGAAUAGUUGUUAUUACACAAUAAAAUCGUCAGAAAA